GGGUACCUCACCAGGUCCAGACAGCGUAAGGAUUGACAGGUUGAUUGUCCUUUCUUGAUUCUCUGGGUAGUGGUGCAUGGCCGUUCUUAGUUGGUGGAGUGAUUUGUCUGGUUAAUUCCGUUAACGAACGAGACCUUAACCUGCUAUUUAGUCGCUCGGUCCUUGUCCGUGCGCACUUCAUAGAGGGACUCUGCGGCGUCAAGCUGCGGUGAGGUUUAAGGCAAUAACAGGUCUGUGAUGCCCUUAGAUGUCCUGGGCUGCACGCGCGCUACACUGAUGCUUGCCUCGUGUUUACCCUCGGCCGAUAGGCCCUGGUAACCCCUAGUCUGCAUCGUGUUUGGGAUUGAUCUUUGCAAUUCUAGAUCAUGAACGAGGAAUGCCUAGUAUGCGCAAGUCAUCAGCUUGUGCAGAUUACGUCCCUGCCCUUUGUACACCACGCCCGUCGCUCCUACCGAU
rnacentral:rRNA from 1 species